AUUACAAAUUUCAAAGGGUGGCACAACAUACUUCCUUGACAAUUUUGAGGGGUGACAACUCAGAUACACUACAUUGGCCUGAAAAGGGAAUCCACCCAGGUAAUUUAUAGGUUGAGAUCAAAUUUGUUGAAUUUAAAAAAAUUUCCAUCCGAUCAUCAGCUAGCUAUUAUUCGAUUGCUUAGUAUUCUAAUCUAUAUGUGUUGUCACGGACUUUGAAUUUGAUGAAAUUAUAUUUUACUUGUGCAGUUAGCUAGCUUGUUACACUUGCUAUGUUUAAAUUUGAUGAAGAUGGUGGGUAUUGCUGGAGUUUGCUAUCUUUUUUCUUCGAUGCAAAAAUAGUCAUGAGCAUUGAUGCAACUUUGCACGUUUAGCUUCUUCUUAGAUUGGAAUUUGUAGUGCGCUUCACCAAAACUACUAGGAUGAUUUUUUUUUGUUUGGUUGAUCAGUGUUGUUGGCUUCGUUGUGUUGCUGGAAAUUACUGAUCAUGGUUCAUUAAUCUCAAAACUGCUAGUCUUCUACAUGGUACUGAAAUUUGAUUUUUAUGUUGUUACAAUACCUUCUAUAUAUGUUGGACUUGUCACAUGUAUUUGGAUAAAUUAUGUUUGUUGACAAUUAUCAAUAAUUAUUCAGUGUUAUUCAUUUCAUUUUCUUUGUCAAUGAAUUUUUAAUUGCAAUAUUCA
rnacentral:lncRNA from 1 species